AAUAUUUGACAAUGGGGGCAACCCUGAUCCAGCCAUUCCGCGGGUGUGAAGAAGGUCUUCGGAUUGUAAAGCACUUUAAGUUGGGAGGAAGGGCUUUAGGUUAAUACCCUGAUGUUUUUACGUUACCAACAGAAUAAGCACCGGCUAACUCUCCUCCAGCAGCCGCGGUAAUACAGAGGGUGCAAGCGUUAAUCGGAAUUACUGGGCGUAAAGCGCGCGUAGGCGGUUCAGUAAGAUGGGUGUGAAAUCCCCGGGCUUAACCUGGGAACUGCUUUCAUAACUGCUGAGCUAGAGUACGGUAGAGGGUAGUGGAAUUUCCUGUGUAGCGGUGAAAUGCGUAGAUAUAGGAAGGAACACCAGUGGCGAAGGCGACUACCUGGACUGAUACUGACACUGAGGUGCGAAAGCGUGGGGAGCAAAC
rnacentral:rRNA from 1 species